rnacentral:rRNA from 1 species
UACGGAGGAGGCAAGCGUUAUCCGGAAUUAUUGGGCGUAAAGCGUCCGCAGGUGGCACUUCAAGUCUGUCGUCAAAGACUGGGGCUUAACCCUGGAAAGGCGGUGGAAACUGAAGCGCUAGAGUGCGGUAGGGGUAGAGGGAAUUCCCGGUGUAGCGGUGAAAUGCGCAGAUAUCAGGAAGAACACCCGUGGCGAAGGCGGUUCUCUGGGACGGUACUGACGCUGAGACGCGAAAGCGUGGGGAGCGAACAGG